rnacentral:rRNA from 1 species
CACUGCCGAGAAAAGCCUCUAGAUAGAAAAUAGGUGCCCGUACCGCAAACCGACACAGGUAGUCAAGAUGAGAAUUCUAAGGUGAGCGAGCGAACUCUCGUUAAGGAACUCGGCAAAAUGACCCCGUAACUUCGGGAGAAGGGGUGCUCUUUAGGGUUAACGCCCAGAAGAGCCGCAGUGAAUAGGCCCAAGCGACUGUUUAUCAAAAACACAGGUCUCUGCUAAACCGUAAGGUGAUGUAUAGGGGCUGACGCCUGCCCGGUGCUGGAAGGUUAAGAGGAGUGGUUAGCUUCUGCGAAGCUACGAAUCGAAGCCCCAGUAAACGGCGGCCGUAACUAUAACGGUCCUAAGGUAGCGAAAUUCCUUGUCGGGUAAGUUCCGACCCGCACGAAAGGCGUAACGAUUUGGGCACUGUCUCAACGAGAGACUCGGUGAAAUCAUAGUACCUGUGAAGAUGCAGGUUACCCGCGACAGGACGGAAAGACCCCGUGGAGCUUUACUGUAGCCUGAUAUUGAAAUUCGGCACAGCUUGUACAGGAUAGGUAGGAGCCUUUGAAACGUGAGCGCUAGCUUACGUGGAGGCGCUGGUGGGAUACUACCCUAGCUGUGUUGGCUUUCUAACCCGCACCACUUAUCGUGGUGGGAGACAGUGUC